rnacentral:rRNA from 1 species
GUACGGGAGGCAGCAGUGGGGAAUUUUGGACAAUGGGGGCAACCCUGAUCCAGCAAUGCCGCGUGUGUGAAGAAGGCCUUCGGGUUGUAAAGCACUUUUGUCAGGAAAGAAAUCGCUCUGGCUAAUAUCCGGAGUGGAUGACGGUACCUGAAGAAUAAGCACCGGCUAACUACGUGCCAGCAGCCGCGGUAAUACGUAGGGUGCGAGCGUUAAUCGGAAUUACUGGGCGUAAAGCGUGCGCAGGCGGUUGUGCAAGACAGAUGUGAAAUCCCCGGGCUUAACCUGGGAACUGCAUUUGUGACUGCACGGCUAGAGUGUGUCAGAGGGGGGUAGAAUUCCACGUGUAGCAGUGAAAUGCGUAGAUAUGUGGAGGAAUACCGAUGGCGAAGGCAGCCCCCUGGGAUAACACUGACGCUCAUGCACGAAAGCGUGGGGAGCAAACAGGAUUAGAUACCCUGGUAGA